rnacentral:tRNA from 6 species
GCAGAAGUGGCGGAACUGGCAGACGCGCUGUCUUCAGGCGGCAGUGGGAUUACUCCCGUGAGAGUUCGAGUCUCUUCUUCUGCA